rnacentral:tRNA from 1 species
GCCACGGUGGUCUAGCGGUUAGAACGCUGGCCUUGUAAUCCUGGGGUCUGGGGUCUCGGGUUCGAUUCCCGGCGGUGCCC